rnacentral:lncRNA from 1 species
GAUCAAUAAUAGCUGGAUUCUACGAAUAUGAGGAUAGAACCCUACCACUAAAUUUGUUGGCAAUGGAAGCUAUCCAUGCUUUGUCUUUAUCAGUAAAUGCAUAGUCGAUUCCAGAAGCCAACAGGAUGAAACCCUUCCUCGUCCCUGUUUGACUGGAGCUUAAUUCACAAGCUUCUCGAAUAGGUUGGACAAGGAGAGACCUAGUCCCCACGGGAACCAUCUCCUUCAAUUCCGAAUCUGAAUUAUUUACGCAUUUCACCAAUGCAACUAAUGAGAAAUGUUUGACCAUUUGUAAACUAGAUUCAGUGAGGAUAAAGGAAGCAUUUACUUUUCAUAAUUGAUAAGAUACAUGAUUGAGUAUUUUUGUCCUCAUUACUACGAUGUCUCCAAUCUCACCAUUAUGAAUCAAGAAAAAUUAGCUUACAUGAUAGAAAUUAUCAAGGGCCUUGUAAUAUCAGAAAGUUGCAAUCCAUCUUAGAAAAUAAUGGAUUAACCUCUACUAUUUUUAUCUAUUUAAACUAAUUCUCAAGGGGGCGUUUCGAUUGGUGGAUGAGAAAGAUAAGAUUGGUAGGAUAGAGUAGGAUUGGAGGAUGACUAAAUAAUCAACCUAACUUUGGAGUGAUAAACAAUCAUGCAAUUAAAUUAUGAGAGUUCAGGCUGAGUUAUCCAUCAUGCUCAAUCAUGCAAACCAAAAAUUUGUAAAUUGGAUUAUUUUAUCAAUCAUGCCUUGUCACUAAAACUAAACUCCUUUUAAAAGUAAAUGCCCCCUUGAAGAAUAAAGAUGAAGCAAUUCAAACUGAAAGGUGGCUAAGGAAGAUGGCUAAUUCUGAUAAUUAUUAUUAUACAUACAAAAUGGAAGGUGGCUAGCUAAGGAAGAUGAUAUUAGGUCACAUGAUUAAGCAAUCAACAGUAAUGGCUUGACCGGAACAAUUGUCAACAUAGCUGGUGAUUUUCAAUGUCAAUAAUAAUACAAUAUUUAUGAAAUUGCAAAAACAUUUAAUUGUCUGCUCUUUAAUGUAUAUAAAGGGUAAUGCACAACAAGAUCAAUGAAUAGAACGAGAGAACUAUAAAAUAAUUUCAAUAACAGACAACUGAUAUAAGGAAUCUGAUAUUUAGGAUGACUUCAUUAUUGGCUUGCAGGAGAAAUUCGUUUAGG